rnacentral:lncRNA from 1 species
UCCAGGAACGAGUUAAAAUCUUGGAGAAUUCUGGUCACUUGCCUCUUGCUUACAUUACAGCAUCAGUCCAUGGUCUACAGGAUGUGGCUGAAAGGUUAGCAGCUGAGUUGGGAGAUGAUGUCCCUCCUUUGCCAGAGGGGAAAGAACCUUCCCUUUUGAUGCCUUCUGCCCCCGUUUUAUGUGGUGGUGAUUGGCCCCUUCUGAGAGUCAUGAAAGGCAUAUUUGAAGGUGGAUUGGAUAGCGGUAUUGGCAGGGGUGCUGUGGAUGAAGAGGAGGAGGGUGUAGAAGGUGAUUGGGGUGAAGAUCUUGAUGUGGUUGAUGUUGAUGGCUUACAGAAUGGUGAUGUUACUGCAAUUUUGGAGGAUGGGGAAGUAGCUGAAGAAAAUGAAGAAGAGGGUGGAUGGGACCUUGAAGAUUUGGAACUUCCCCCUGAGGCAGACACCCCAAAGGUCUCUGGGAAUGCUCGGUCUUCUGUUUUUGUGGCACCUACUCUGGGUAUGCCUGUAAGUCAGAUUUGGAUUCAGAGAUCAUCUCUUGCUGCUGAACAUGCAGCAGCUGGCAAUUUUGAUACGGCAAUGCGUUUGCUUAGCAGGCAACUUGGCAUUAGAAACUUUGCCCCUUUGAAAUUGAUGUUUCUUGAUCUUGACACUGGUAGCCGUAGCUAUCUCCGUGCAUUUGCAUCUGCACCAGUGGUUUCACUGGCAGUUGAGCGGGGAUGGAAUGAAUCUGCUAGUCCUAAUGUGAGGGGUCCACCAGCACUUGUGUUCAAUUCCUCUCAAUUGGAUGAAAAGGUGAAUGCCGGUUACAAGGCCACGACGGCUGGGAAAUUCACUGAAGCUCUUCGGCUUUUCCUUAACAUUCUUCAUACAAUUCCAUUGAUUGUUGUGGAGUCAAGGAGGGAAGUUGACGAAGUCAAGGAAUUGAUUAUUAUUGCUAAGGAGUAUGUUCUUGGUCUACAGAUGGAGCUUAAGAGGAAAGAAAUGAAAGACAAUCCAGUACGCCAGCAGGAGCUUGCUGCCUACUUCACCCACUGCAACCUUCGGACACCUCACUUAAGGCUUGCUUUGCAAAAUGCAAUGUCUGUAUGCUUCAAGGCAAAGAACAUGGCUACAGCAGCUAACUUUGCCAGUCGUCUACUAGAAACAAACCCCACAAAUGAGAAUCAAGCAAAGACAGCAAGGCAAGUGCUUCAAGCUGCUGAGAGGAAUAUGACAGAUGCCUCUCAGCUGAACUAUGAUUUCAGAAACCCAUUUGUGGUAUGUGGGGCAACUCAUGUGCCAAUUUACAGAGGACAGAAAGAUGUAUCUUGCCCAUAUUGCACUACACGCUUCAUUCCUAGCCAGGAAGGGCAAUUGUGUACUAUCUGUGAUCUUGCAGUGGUUGGGGCAGAUGCUUCAGGGUUGCUCUGUUCUCCUUCACAGAUACGAUGAUCAAGUUGCUGAAGUUGGAUCUACUUUUUAACUUUAUCUUGCUGACCUCUUUUAGCUGCAGAAACCUGCCUGGGUUGAUCGAUUCAUAUCUGUGUGUGAAAGGUCAGAUUACUGAAGAGGAGUUGCGAACCAAAUUAAUUUUUUGUGCUAUUUCCUUUUAUUUGCUUUUUGUUUAAUUCCUCUUAAUAGUUCAUAAUGAUUUUCAAUGUAAGAAUAAAUUUGGAAUUUUCGUUAUCAGGCUUUUCUUGUCUGUUGAUGUCUAUAGACAAGUAUAUUCAUAGGUGCCUUGUUAAUUAAAUGAUGUCAUAGGUAGCACUUACAUAUCGAUUUUAUGCAUAUGUGAUUUCAGAAACUUGCUUUUUGCCAAUUAUUCGAUCUCGGGACUUUUGAAUUGGGGCCCUUCUUGGGCAGUGGAAGUUGAUUCUUUUUCCAAUUCAAAUAGUCAUAAGAGAUUUGUGGAGAUAUAUUUGCAUUAAAAUGGAUAUGUUGAGAUAUACUUAGUGCAACGAAAGUUAAUAUAAGAUUCAAUUAUAAAUUUUAAAUACAAAUUUUAUCAAUUAGUUAAAUAGUAACAAUUUUUAAAAAUAAGUUCUUUAAAGGUCGGUGAUUUACAUUUUACUUUUUAAAAAAAAAAAAAUCGUCGUGGAAUGAAAAUAUUUUCUUUGAGUCGCAGCCGCAAAUAACUUGGUUACGGCAGCGGCCUUUAACCUCUGAAAUGGUAGCAUCUUUUGCGUCCUCAAAACGUCGUCGUUAAAUAAAAAGUGGGAAGGAAGGCACUUGAAAGAAAAGUCUGUACAUCACAAACAUAGUUCCAGUACUUGAAAAAAAAAGACUCAGAUCCUUAAAAAAGAGAAUCGAAAACUCUCUCCUCUCUAUUCAUAUAAAGCGAAAGAUGGAAAGGCGCUUCCGUUUUCGUUUGUAAUUUUAGAUGCUACAUCAGAUCUGAGGUAAUUUUUCUUAGUUUCAUGCCCAUAACUUCGAUCUUCCUUAUCUCUAUGCUUGGUUCCCAAAUCCAAAUCUCCCUGUUUGGUUACGACGAUUAUUUUAUUUAGACGUUGGAUUUGGUUUUGCUUUGUAGAAAAUUGGCGGUCGAAGAGAAAGAAGAAGAAAAACGAGAAGGGGGAGAAGAUGUUGACAAAGUUUGAGACGAAGAGUAAUAGAGUAAAGGGACUGAGUUUCCACGCUAAGAGGCCAUGGAUCUUAGCCAGUCUCCACAGUGGCGUUAUCCAGUUAUGGGACUAUCGUAUGGGUACUCUGAUUGAUCGAUUCGACGAACACGAUGGCCCCGUUCGCGGCGUCCAUUUCCACAUGUCUCAGCCUUUGUUCGUCUCUGGAGGUUGGGAUUUCAUUUAUUUUCGCUCAAUUUUAUCUGUGCUUAGUAAAUCUUGUUGAUUGUUUUGGUGAUCUAAGGAAUUGGAUGUGAAGUUGUUAUUUGUGCUGAUUAAUUAGGAUUGGAUUAGCUUAACUUGUGGAGCUCUUUUAUUCUUGUGACUAUGAAAUUUGAGAAAAUCUGAUGCGUAUGAUAAUACUGGAUCUAGAUUUACUACAGUGAUUUCAUGUAGUCAGCCUUAGUUUACUCCUUCUAGAUCUGACGUUCUCGAGAAAAUGAAUGCCAAUCCAACCAUAGACUGAAUUAUAUAGGCUAUAGUAUAUACGUUCAUAUCUGCAUGAACACAUAUAUUUAUAUACAUUUAUUCAGUGGUUUUUCGUAUACUGCUUGCAAUGUAUAGAUCUAUUUAUAUUGUUUUGAUGUCUUUUUUUUAAACUAUAAAUUUAAAGGGUUUUGAUCAUGGAGAUUCUUAAAACAAUAAGUUUGAGUACAAAUGAGUGUGAAUUGGUUAUAACUAUUUAGGAUUUAAUGCACUUAAAUUUUGUACGUACAAAUGGAAUAUAUUAAAUUUAUUACAAUUUAAAUUCCAUUUUAACAGAAUCCUCAUUCACUCGUAUUAGUGAUUCUAUCAUUAGAUUUAGGAGAACAUAAAUAGAUUUAUAUAAGAAGGCGAAUCAAAAUUUACUUAUUUAUAAUUUAAAGUUAUUAAAGGAUAAUUUAGUAAUACAAAAAAUAUUAAUGUACUUUUGUUUGGCAGGCUACACUGCGUAAAAGAUAGGGGAAUAGCACUUUGUAGCACUUAUCCCUUUGUUUAAACUGAGAAAUAACUCGUUCAACUUGGCACCUUAAAUGUUAAACUACCAUCUGAAUAGAUCUAUUGCUGAAAAGGGAUGCCUUUGAGUGUAGUAAUUUGAAAAUUUUUAAAACUGGUCAACAUGGGCAAGGAAAGUCUGAAUUUGAAGUUUUUAUUAACUCAAAAAGUUACAUUUGUGCUAUGAUUUUCUUUUAAAAAGCAUAGGAUUCUUAUGCAAUACAAAUGAUACUAAAAAUGAUGGGAUUUUUCAGGGGAUGACUACAAGAUAAAGGUCUGGAACUACAAGUUGCAUAGAUGUCUUUUCACACUUCUUGGGCAUCUUGAUUAUAUUCGUACUGUGCAAUUUCAUCAUGAGCAUCCGUGGAUUGUGAGUGCCAGUGAUGAUCAGACUAUUCGCAUCUGGAACUGGCAGUCACGAACUUGCAUAUCUGUGUUGACUGGCCAUAAUCAUUAUGUUAUGUGUGCCUCAUUCCAUCCUAAAGAAGACCUCGUUGUAUCGGCCUCCCUUGAUCAGACUGUUCGGGUUUGGGAUAUUGGUUCCCUGAGAAAGAAGACUGUCUCCCCAGCGGAUGACAUUUUGCGGUUAAGUCAGAUGAACACAGAUCUUUUUGGUGGUGUUGACUCAGUUGUUAAGUAUGUGUUGGAAGGUCAUGACCGAGGAGUAAAUUGGGCUGCAUUUCACCCCACCUUACCGCUGAUUGUCUCUGGAGCAGAUGAUCGACAAGUGAAAUUGUGGCGUAUGAACGGUAAUUAUCGGAAACUGUGCCUUCUUCUCCAUUUAUAUUUCAUUUACUAGCGAUAUUGAUUAAUUUUUUUCUUAUGUAAAUACACUUAUUGGCCAAUUAAAAUCUUCAUAAGAACUUACCUAAUUAUCUUCUUUUUUUUUUUUUCUGAAAUUUGAUGUAUGCUAAAUGGCCCAUUAUAUAUGAGCCAAGCUACCUCAAAUCCUCCAUUAUAUUUAUGAUCUUGGCAGUGUAUAGGUGCGGAGCCCAAAGAGUGUCCUUGUACAACCUGCUAAAGUUGACAGAUCAAUUUUUUUUUUGCAGCAGAGAAUUCAGACCCCUGAAUUGUUGUGGGACUGAGUAAAUUGUUUAUUUGUUUGCAGAGACAAAGGCUUGGGAAGUGGAUACCUUGAGAGGGCACAUGAAUAACGUGUCAUGUGUUAUGUUUCAUGCCAAACAAGACAUCAUUGUGUCUAAUUCCGAGGAUAAAAGUAUUCGUGUGUGGGAUGUAACAAAGCGAACUGGACUUCAAACUUUCCGUCGAGAACAUGACAGAUUCUGGAUUCUUGCUGCCCAUCCUGAAAUGAAUCUUUUGGCUGCUGGACAUGACAGUGGCAUGAUUGUAUUUAAGCUAGAGAGAGAGCGUCCUGCUUUUGCAGUGAGUGGGGAUUCUCUCUUUUAUGCCAAAGACCGGUUUUUAAGAUAUUAUGAGUUUUCAACUCAAAGAGAGGCGCAAGUAAUUCCAAUUCGACGGCCUGGUUCCACAACGUUGAAUCAAAGUCCAAGGACUCUUUCUUACAGUCCUACAGAAAAUGCUGUUCUUAUCUGCUCAGAUGUUGAUGGAGGAUCUUAUGAGUUGUAUGUGAUACCAAAAGACAGCAUUGGUAGGGGUGACAGUUUGCAGGAGGCAAAGAGAGGUCUUGGGAGUUCUGCUAUAUUUGUGGCUCGAAACCGGUUUGCUGUGCUCGACAAAGGCAACAACCAAGUCUUAAUCAAGAAUCUAAAAAAUGAAGUAGUUAAAAAGAGUGGCCUCCCAGUGCCUACGGAUGCAAUAUUUUAUGCUGGAACAGGUAACUUGUUGUGUAGGUCAGAGGAUAGAGUAGUUAUAUUUGAUCUCCAGCAGAGGAUUGUUCUUGGUGAUCUUCAAACCCCCUUUGUGAAGUAUAUUGUUUGGUCUAAUGAUAUGGAAAGUGUUGCUUUGCUCAGCAAGCAUGCCAUUAUCAUUACUAACAAGAAGCUUGUGCACCAGUGCACUCUUCAUGAGACAAUACGUGUAAAAAGUGGAGGCUGGGAUGACAAUGGUGUUUUCAUUUACACCACCCUAAACCAUAUAAAAUACUGUCUUCCCAAUGGAGAUAGUGGAAUAAUUCGAACGCUUGAUGUUCCAAUAUACAUAACAAAGGUUUCAGGAAAUACUUUAUUUUGCCUGGAUCGUGAUGGGAAGAAUAGGACUAUAGUCAUUGAUGCUACAGAAUACAUUUUCAAGCUCUCUCUGCUUCGGAAGAGAUAUGAUCAUGUUAUGGGCAUGAUAAGAAACUCCAAGCUUUGCGGUGAGGCUAUGAUUGCUUAUCUCCAACAGAAGGGGUUCCCUGAAGUGGCUCUCCAUUUUGUCAAAGACGAGAAAACACGCUUUAAUUUGGCUCUAGAGAGUGGGAACAUUCAAAUUGCUGUUGCAUCAGCUAAGGAGAUAGAUGACAAAGAUCAUUGGUAUAGGUUGGGUGUGGAGGCUCUUCGCCAAGGCAAUGCAGGUAUAGUGGAAUAUGCUUAUCAGAAGACAAAAAACUUUGAGAGGUUGUCUUUUCUUUAUCUCAUAACCGGUAACCUGGAAAAGCUGUCCAAGAUGCUGAAAAUUGCAGAAGUUAAGAAUGAUGUUAUGGGUCAGUUUCACAAUGCUUUGUAUCUUGGUGAUAUCCAGGAACGUGUUAAAAUCCUGGAGAAUUCUGGUCACUUGCCUCUUGCUUACCUUACAGCAUCGGUCCAUGGGCUACAGGAUGUGGCUGAAAGGUUAGCAGCUGAGUUGGGAGAUGAUGUUCCUCCUCUGCCAGAGGGGAAAGAACCUUCCCUUUUGAUGCCUUCUGCCCCCGUUUUAUGUGGUGGUGAUUGGCCCCUUCUGAGAGUCAUGAAAGGCAUAUUUGAAGGUGGAUUGGAUAGUGAUAUUGGCAGGGGUGCUGUGGAUGAAGAGGAGGAGGGUGUAGAAGGUGAUUGGGGUGAAGAUCUUGAUGUGGUUGAUGUUGAUGGCUUACAGAAUGGUGA